CCCCACCACAACCACUGAGGCGGCCCUCCACGCCGAGGAGGAAAUUCACCAACCACAUCAUGAAAACAGGAAACAAACCUCUGGCCAGGGAACUUGUCGAGAAGGUCAAAGGUCACAACUAGUCAGCCGGGAGUGGGUCAGGAUGGCACGGCUGGCUGUGGUGGUGGUGGUGGUGGUGGUGUUGGCGGCAGCAGCGGCGGGAAGGCCAGACUACACGCUGUCCCACAAAUUUAUUGAAAUGUUGCAGAGUGAACAGUCCACUUGGAAGGGGUCAUAUUGCUUGUGUGGCCGGUGUGAAUGUGACCGGGGGCUUGGCAGGGAUGACUGGGGGCUUGGCAGGGGUGAUGGGGGGCUUGGCAAGGGUGGCAGGAGGGGUGAGAUACAGCCAAUACCCCCCGGCGUACAUGGCCUCAAAACUGCAAGAGAUGGAGGACAGCGGGGAGAUGAAGGAAUUUGAGUAGCGGGCGGUCCGAGCGGCCCACAGCACCCACACCACCUCCGUACUCCACCACCCGCUUGUCAGGAAAUUCACCAACCACAUCAUGAAAACAGGAAACAAACCUCUGGCCAGGGAACUUGUCGAGAAGGUCAAAGGUCACAACUAGCCAGCCAGGAGUGGGUCAGGAUGGCACGGCUGGCUGUGGUGGUGGUGGUGGUGGCGGCAGCAGCGGCGGGAAGGCCAGACUACACGCUGUCCCACAAAUUUAUUGAAAUGUUGCAGAGUGAACAGUCCAUUUGGAAGGUUUGUUUGUUUGUUUGUGUUU